rnacentral:rRNA from 1 species
GACGUAGGAUGCAAGCGUUGUCCGGAAUCAUUGGGCGUAAAGCGUUCGUAGGCGGCAUGUCAAGUCUGAUGUUAAAGCCCGGAGCUCAACUCCGGUUCGGCAUUGGAUACUGGCAAGCUAGAGUGCAAUAGAGGUAAGGGGAAUUCCUAGUGUAGCGGUGAAAUGCGUAGAUAUUAGGAGGAACACCGGUGGCGAAAGCGCCUUACUGGGUUGUAACUGACGCUGAGGAACGAAAGCCAGGGUAG